rnacentral:rRNA from 1 species
CGCGGUAAUUUGACCGUGCGAAGGUAGCAUAGUCAGUAGUCUUUUAAUUGAAGGCUUGAAUGAAAGGUUGGACGAGGGAUAAGCUGUCUCUUGUGGUGUAGUUUGAAUUUAACUUUUAAGUGAAAAGGCUUAGAUUGUUUAGUGGGACGAUAAGACCCUAUAAAACUUGAUAUAAGUUUUGCUUGAUUUGUGAUUUGUAGUGAAAAGUGGUUUCGUUUAAUUUAUAUUUCGUUGGGGAGAUGUAGAUAUAAUAUGUAACUGUCUAUUUAAUUUAAUAGUUAUAAUUAGUAUUUGAUCCUUCUUUGUGGAUUAAGAGAAUAAGUUACUUUAGGGAUAACAGCGUGAUUUUCUUUGAGAGUUCUUAUCGACAAGAGUAGUUGCGACCUCGAUGUUGAAUUAAAAUUUUAGCUAGGUGUAGCCGUUUAGCUGGUGGGUCUGUUCG